GACGAACGCUGGCGGCGUGCUUAACACAUGCAAGUCGAACGGAAAGGCCCUGCUUUUGUGGGGUGCUCGAGUGGCGAACGGGUGAGUAACACGUGAGUAACCUGCCCUUGACUUUGGGAUAACUUCAGGAAACUGGGGCUAAUACCGGAUAGGAGCUCCUGCUGCAUGGUGGGGGUUGGAAAGUUUCGGCGGUUGGGGCUGGACUCGCGGCUUAUCAGCUUGUUGGUGGGGUAGUGGCUUACCAAGGCUUUGACGGGUAGCCGGCCUGGGAGGGUGACCGGCCACAUUGGGACUGCGAUACGGCCCAGACUCCUACGGGAGGCAGAAGUGGGGAAUAUUGCACAGUGGGCGGGAGCCUGAUGCGGCAACGCCGCGUGCGGGAUGACGGCCUUCGGGUUGUAAACCGCUUUCGCCUGUGACGAAGAGUGAGUGACGGUAAUGGGUAAAGAAGCACCGGCUAACUACGUG
rnacentral:rRNA from 1 species